rnacentral:rRNA from 1 species
CCUACGGGAGGCUGCAGUGGGGAAUUGUUCGCAAUGGGCGCAAGCCUGACGACGCAACGCCGCGUGGAGGAUGAAGGUCUUCGGAUUGUAAACUCCUGUUGCUCGGGACGAAAUGCGGUGACCUAACACGUCAUCGUUUGACGGUACCGAGUGAGGAAGCCCCGGCUAACUCUGUGCCAGCAGCCGCGGUAAUACAGAGGGGGCAAGCGUUGUUCGGAAUUACUGGGCGUAAAGGGCGCGUAGGCGGCCUGUUAAGUCGAACGUGAAAUCCCCGG